UGAAUACGAGACGCUACGGCGUCGAAGCAGUCUAUGUCAUACUUCCAAGAAAAGCUUGCACUGUCAUAAACAAAUAAUGCCUGUACCAUAACCGACACAGGUGGGUAGGUAGAGUAUACUAAGGGGCGCGAGAUAACUCUCUCUAAGGAACUCGGCAAAAUGACUCCGUAACUUCGGGAGAAGGAGUGCCUUAUUUAUAAGGUCGCAAUAACAAGAUCCAAGCAACUGUUUAUCAAAAACACAGGUCUCCGCUAAGUCGUAAGACGAUGUAUGGGGGCUGACGCCUGCCCAGUGCCAGAAGGUUAAAGAAGUUGGUUAGUGUAUGCGAAGCUGAUGACUGAAGCCCUGGUGAACGGCGGCCGUAACAAUAACGGUCCUAAGGUAGCGAAAUUCCUUGUCGGGUAAGUUCCGACCCGCACGAAAGGCGUAAUGAUUUGGAUACUGUCUCGGAGAGAGGCUCGGUGAAAUAGACUUGUCUGUGAAGAUGCGGACUACCUGCACCAGGACAGAAAGGCCCUAUGAAGCUUUACUGUAACUUGAAAUUGGAAUUGGACUUUGCUUGCGCAGUAUAGGUGGGAAGCGUUGAAAAUAUUCUUGCGGGAGUAUUGGAGCUAUCAGUGAGAUACCACUCUUGUAAUGUUAGAUUUCUAACUUUGAACCAUAAUCUGGUCAAAGAACAGUUUCAGGUGGGCAGUUUGACUGGGGCGGUCGCCUCCCAAAUGGUAACGGAGGCGUACAAAGGUUUCCUCUGAACGGAUAGAAAUCGUAUCUAGAGUGUAAAGGCAUAAGGAAGCUUGACUGUGAGACCUACAAGUCGAGCAGGGACGAAAGUCGGUCUUAGUGAUCUGACGGUACUGAGUGGAAAGGCCGUCACUCAACGGAUAAAAGUUACUCUAAGGAUAACAGGCUGAUCUCCCCCAAGAGUUCACAUCGACGGGGAGGUUUGGCACCUCGAUGUCGGCUCAUCGCAUCCUGGGGCGGUAGUACGUCCCAAGGGUUGGGCUGUUCGCCCAUGAAAGCGGUACGCGAGCUGGGUUCAGAACGUCGUGAGACAGUUCGGUCCAUAUCCGGUGUAGGCGCUAGAAUAUUGAGAGGAGCCUUCUUUAGUACGAGAGGACCGAGAAGGACACACCGCUGGUGUACCAGUUAUCGUGCCAACGGUAAACGCUGGGUAGCUAUGUGUGGAGUGGAUAACCGCUGAAAGCAUCUAAGUGGGAAGCCCACCUCGAGAUGA
rnacentral:rRNA from 1 species